rnacentral:rRNA from 1 species
UACGGAGGGUGCAAACGUUGCUCGGAAUCACUGGGCGUAAAGGGCGCGUAGGCGGCUUCUCAAGCGUGUGGUGAAAGUCCGGGGCUCAACCCCGGAUCGGCCGUGCGGACUGGGGAGCUCGAGUUCUGUAGAGGCGGGUGGAAUUCCGGGUGUAGCGGUGGAAUGCGUAGAGAUCCGGAAGAACACCGGUGGCGAAGGCGGCCCGCUGGGCAGAGACUGACGCUGAGGCGCGACAGCGUGGGGAGCAACAGG